rnacentral:rRNA from 1 species
UACGGGGGGUGCGAGCGUUGUCCGGAAUCACUGGGCGUAAAGGGCGCGUCGGUGGUUUGAUAAGGGUGUGGUGAAAGUCCGGGGCUCAACCCCGGAUCUGCCGUGCCGACUGUCAAACUCGAGGACUGUAGAGGCAGACGGAAUUCCGGGUGUAGCGGUGGAAUGCGUAGAGAUCCGGAGGAAGACCGGUGGCGAAGGCGGUCUGCUGGGCAGUUUCUGACACUGAGGCGCGACAGCGUGGGGAGCAAACAGG